rnacentral:snRNA from 2 species
GUCCCUUCAGGGACAUCCGAUAAAAUUGAAAUGAUACUAAGAAGAUCAGCAUGGCUGCGACAAGCACAAAUUGAGAAAUGGUCCGAAUUUCU